rnacentral:rRNA from 1 species
GUAGGGAAUAUUGCGCAAUGGGGGAAACCCUGACGCAGCGACGCCGCGUGAGUGAUGAAGGCCUUCGGGUCGUAAAGCUCUGUUGCAGGGGAAUAAAAAAAUGAAGGUACCCUGUGAGGAAGGAUCGGCUAACUUCGUGCCAGCAGCCGCGGUAAGACGAGGGAUCCUAGCGUUGCUCGGAAUAAUUGGGCGUAAAGAGGGCGUAGGUGGCUUGGUAAGUGAGGUAUGAAAGCCCAGGUCUCAACCCUGGAAGUGCAUUUGAUACUGCUGAGCUUGAGUGUCGGAGAGGUUACCGGAAUACCUGGUGUAGUGGUGAAAUACGUAGAUAUCAGGUGGAACACCGGAGGCGAAGGCGGGUAACUGGACGAACACUGACACUGAGGCCCGAAAGCGUGGGGAUCAAACAGGAUUAGAUACCCCAGUAGUCC